GGGCACGUAGUGGAGUGGUUACCACGUUGGUCUUCGAUAUAAAAUCACAACCAAAGUUCGUCAGUUCGAUCCUGGCCGUGCUCA